rnacentral:rRNA from 1 species
UACAGAGGGUGCAAGCGUUGUUCGGAAUUAUUGGGCGUAAAGGGCGCGUAGGCGGUCACGACAAGUCAGUUGUGAAAUCUCCGGGCUUAACUCGGAACGGUCAACUGAUACUGUCGGACUAGAGUGCAGAAGGGGCAACUGGAAUUCUCGGUGUAGCGGUGAAAUGCGUAGAUAUCGAGAGGAACACCUGCGGCGAAGGCGGGUUGCUGGGCUGAUACUGACGCUGAGGCGCGAAAGCCAGGGGAGCGAACGGG